UUAAAUGGUUAAAGGAAUACAUAGAGCCGUGGAGUGCAGUUUUAGAAAAGUGGACCAAAACAUAUGCAUUAAGUAGGCACAUUCUGAUUAAUAAAAAACGCAAGCUUAUGAUUAUUUUAAACAGUACAGGUGUUUAGAUUUAGCGGAAGGAUCGGAAUUGAUAAACAUUGACUUCAAUGUUCUCCUUCCUAAGAAGGGGAAUCUGCUUUUCGAGAAAUGGAGUACAAUCCGACAGCAGAUAAUACCCAUACUGAAAAGCAGCCUGAAAUGUGACAGAGAUAAAGAGCUUACUUACAAUAUCGAAGAGUUACCAGAAUAGAGUCAGGACGCUGUGGUUCUGUGGCUUCUGCAAAAAUUGUUAAGGACAACGCACAUGAGAUAUGGAGAGCCCAUAACUAAAAGAAGGAGGCUAACAGAAAAUGUAAAUGAAGCGGCUUCACCUAAUGCGAAACCCACAAAUAAUGAAAUGCAGGAAGCAUUCAUUUUACAUGUACAGAAUGCUGCGGAAGUGAAUAUCCAGUUGAUCAAGAAAAGAGAAGAUCUGUACAGCAAAAAACUACCUCUACAACCUCUUCUGGUUUUUGUUGGACCUAUACGGAAACUAGAGGCUGCGUAUGCAGUCAUAGACCAAACGAAAUACAAGUUACCGACACCGAUAACUGCACUAGAUACGACUUUUAAACUUUUUUAAGCGGUGGAUGUUCAGUACCCGAAAGCAGCUUAACAGGAACACA